UGGGGAAUAUUGCACAAUGGGCGCAAGCCUGAUGCAGCCAUGCCGCGUGUGUGAAGAAGGCCUUCGGGUUGUAAAGCACUUUCAGCGAGGAGGAAGGGUAGUGUGUUAAUAGCACAUUGCAUUGACGUUACUCGCAGAAGAAGCACCGGCUAACUCCGUGCCAGCAGCCGCGGCAAUACGGAGGGGGCAAGCGUUAAUCGGGAUUACUGGGCGUAAAGCGCACGCAGGCGGUUUGUUAAGUCAGAUGUGAAAUCCCCGCGCUUAACGUGGGAACUGCAUUUGAAACUGGCAAGCUAGAGUCUUGUAGAGGGGGGUAGAAUUCCAGGUGUAGCGGUGAAAUGCGUAGAGAUCUGGAGGAAUACCGGUGGCGAAGGCGGCCCCCUGGACAAAGACUGACGCUCAGGUGCGAAAGCGUGGGGAGCAAACA
rnacentral:rRNA from 1 species